GUUGCAAUAGAGUAGGCUAUUGCCACGGAGUUAAAACUAAUGCUCUUAAAGGUAGAGUUAUUGCCACGACUCUAAAGAACCGUUGCAAUAGCCUAGAUAUUUUAACAAAAAUGAAAGCUAAUGCAACGGUAGUGUUGUAUCAUGAAAAUUUUAGCUAGGUUGAAGCGCGCAUUGUUCCCUCUAAUUUUUUCACCAAAAUUUUGAACAAACACGUGUUUACUUUUCUCACCCAUUUUCUCCCCUCAUUCUCACGGUACCCAUUCUCAUCCUAUUUCUCCAUUUCCUCAAUUUCCCCCAAUUCUCCAUUUUCUCAAUUUCCCCCAAUUCUCUAGUUUCCCCAUCAUCAUCUCACAUAAAUAAGCAAGGUAAACAAAAAUUCUGAGGCCGAUUUUGAGGUGAAAAUCACGAAAAAAAUCAUUCAAAAAUUCGAAGCAGAAGGCAACCAUCGCCGCAGCCGGCAACCACAUCCACAACCACCGUCGCUCACAAAAUUAAAUUCUCUCUUUCUUCUCCCUCCUCAUUCAAUGAUGGUCACGGUGGUGAUGGUGGUCGCGAGUGAUAAUGACGAUGUGGUUCGAUUUUUAGGGUUUUGAUUGGUGUUCAUGGUAUGAGCUUCUUUAAACUUUCCUCUUUAAAUUUCAAAUUUAGGGUUCCUUUGCACAAUUUAUAGUUCAAAUUUUUGAUUUUUUUCGAUUUCUAGGGUUUGGAAUUGUAACUGUUGGCGGUGGUGGAGAGCAACGAUGGUGAGUUUUGAUUUGUAAUUGAUGGCGGUGGUGGAGAGUUGCUGAGCUAACGUCGCUCAAACUCCAGCUUCGUGCCCUGAUCUUUGAGAACAUCAUCAUCGUCCAUGGUAGUUGGUGAGAGUGAUUUGCUAAUUGUUGGACCUGGUGUUCUUGGUCGCUUGGUAGCUCAACAAUGGAGUCAGGUUAAUUUCUUUCGUUUGGGAUUCUCGCCUUUAUGUUCUUGCCAGGUGCAUGGGGAGCUAAAUGGAACGGAAGUAUAGUGACUAGUCAUCUAACAAAUGGUGCAUAUAUGUUGGCGACUCUUAUUCAAGUUCAACUUUGUGAAGAUUUGAAAAUUCCGGCUUAUAUAUAUGUUGACAAUUUGUAUUUUGGACGAUUAAAUUAAUUAUAUAACUUUUAUUUUUUAUUAGUAGGGUGUCAUACCAAAAACAAACAAGUAAUAUUUUGUAAUGUACGUAUGUCGCAUUAUAAUUAUUAUAUAUAAGUUUAAUGAUACUUUGUUUUGGUUAGUAUAUUUAGAUUUGUACUGACUAAUUAUACAUAUAUUAAAUUACCAUUCCAAAAAAUAAAAAAAAAAAUCAAAUGAUCAAUCCAUUGCAGUAGAUACGUACUACUAUCAUUGUAGUAAUUAGUUUCAUCCGUUGCAAUAGGUUCAAU